UUCCACGUGGUCUAGUGGCUAGGAUAUCUGGCUUUCACCCAGAAGGCCCGGGUUUGAUUCUCAGCGAGUGAAU
rnacentral:tRNA from 1 species